CACUUCAGUUUCUUGAGGUUGUUGAGUUUGAUUUUCAUUAGUAAUUACAGGAUCCUGAUUGGGGAGAUUUUCGAGAUUGUCUUGAACAGGAGUUGUAUGAGCCGUGUCAGGAAUGAGAACUCCCUGACAAAGAUCAACAACUUGAGGGAAAGACACAUGUUCAUCCUUAAAGACAAAAUCUCUAACAACUUUAUCUCCCCACCCCCCAAACUCAAUAUCCUCAAAG
rnacentral:lncRNA from 1 species